rnacentral:rRNA from 1 species
UACGUAGGGUGCGAGCGUUGUCCGGAAUUACUGGGCGUAAAGAGCUCGUAGGUGGUUUGUCGCGUUGUUCGUGAAAACUCACAGCUUAACUGUGGGCGUGCGGGCGAUACGGGCAGACUGGAGUACUGCAGGGGAGACUGGAAUUCCUGGUGUAGCGGUGGAAUGCGCAGAUAUCAGGAGGAACACCGGUGGCGAAGGCGGGUCUCUGGACCGAGACUGACGCUGAGGCGCGAAAGCGUGGGGAGCAAACAGG